rnacentral:rRNA from 1 species
AACGAACGCUGGCGGCAGGCCUAAUACAUGCAAGUCGAACGGGCGCAGCAAUACGUCAGUGGCGGACGGGUGAGUAACACGUGGGAACAUGCCUUUCGGUUCGGAAUAACGCGAGGGAAACUUGCGCUAAUACCGGAUGACCCGGCGAACGGAAAAGUAUUUAUCGACCGAAAGAUUGGCCCGCGUAGGAUUAGCUAGUUGGUGAGGUAACGG